GACGAACGCUGGCGGCGUGCUUAACACAUGCAAGUCGAGCGGUAAGGCCCUUUCGGGGGUACACGAGCGGCGAACGGGUGAGUAACACGUGGGUGACCUGCCCUCAGCUCUGGGAUAAGCCGUGGGAAACCGGGUCUAAAUACCGGAUAUGACUCCAUGACGCAUGUUGUGGGUGGAAAGCCUUGUGCGGCUGAGGAUGGGCCCGCGGCCUAUCAGCUUGUUGGGUGGGGUGAUGGCCUACCAAGGCGACGACGGGUAGCCGGCCUGAGAGGGCGACCGGCCACACUGGGACUGAGACACGGCCCAGACUCC
rnacentral:rRNA from 1 species